ensembl:lncRNA
GAGAAGAAAGGCAGAAUAUGCUCUGUUUAGACCAGUUUUAAUGAGGGAGAUGAGAAGAAAGGCAGAAUGUGCUCUGUUUAGACCAGUUUUAAUGAGGGAGGUGAGAAGAAAGGCAGAAUAUGCUCUGUUUAGACCAGUUUUAAUGAGGGAGGUGAGAAGAAAGGCAGAAUGUGCUCUGUUUAGACCAGUUUUAAUGAGGGAGGUGAGAAGAAAGGCAGAAUAUGCUCUGUUUAGACCAGUGUUAAUGAGGGAGGUGAGAAGAAAGGCAGAAUAUGC